GACGAACGCUGGCGGCGUGCUUAACACAUGCAAGUCGAGCGAUGAAAGCCUUAUGAACUAUUCGUAGUGAUUGAGGCCGGAUUAGCGGCGGACGGGUGAGUAACGCGUGAGCAACCUGCCUUAAACAACGGGAUAGCCUCGGGAAACCGGGAUUAAUACCGUAUAAGACCCCGCCUUCACAUGAAGAAGAGGUUAAAGAUUUAUCGGUUUAAGAUGGGCUCGCGUCUGAUUAGCUAGUUGGUGAGAUAAAAGCCCGCCAAGGCAACGAUCAGUAACCGGCUUGAGAGAGUGAACCGUCACAUUGGAACUGAGACACGGUCCAAACUCCUACGGGAGGCAGCAGUGGGGAAUAUUGCACAAUGGGGGAAACCCUGAUGCAGCGACGCCGCGUGAGCGAUGAAGGAAUUCGUUUCGUAAAGCUCUGUCCAAGGGGAUGAUAAUGACAGUACCCUUGGAGGAAGCCCCGGCUAAAUACGUGCCAGCCGCCGCAGUAA
rnacentral:rRNA from 1 species